ensembl:ncRNA F32G8.11 ncRNA
UAAACAAGAGAAAGAAAUCAGAUCCUUUAUUUUCUUCAUUCCGACUACCAAGGUCGACUCCGAAUCAGAAAUGGAUUGAUGAUUCGACCGGGAGACGGCGAUGUCAUUAACGAGAGGUAAAAGAGAAACAAACAACGACGAAGACGAUUU